rnacentral:rRNA from 1 species
GUGAGGAAUAUUGCGCAAUGGAGGCAACUCUGACGCAGCCAUGCCGCGUGCAGGAAGAAGGCGCUACGCGUUGUAAACUGCUUUUAACCGGGAAGAAACCCCAGGACGUGUCCUGGGUUGACGGUACCGGAGGAAUAAGCACCGGCUAACUUCGUGCCAGCAGCCGCGGUAAUACGAAGGGUGCAAGCGUUAUCCGGAUUCAUUGGGUUUAAAGGGUGCGUAGGCGGAGCGUUAAGUCAGUGGUGAAAUCCUGCAGCUUAACUGUAGACUUGCCAUUGAUACUGGCGCUCUUGAGUGCACUUGAAGUGGGCGGAAUGUGCCGUGUAGCGGUGAAAUGCUUAGAUAUGGCACAGAACACCAAUUGCGAAGGCAGCUCACUAAGGCGAUACUGACGCUGAGGCACGAAAGCGUGGGGAUCGAACAGGAUUAGAUACCCCUGUAGUCC